rnacentral:rRNA from 1 species
GUGCCAGCAGCCGCGGUAAGACGAACCGUGCGAACGUUGUUCGGAAUCACUGGGCUUAAAGGGCGCGUAGGCGGACCACCAAGUCGGGGGUGAAAUCGUUCAGCCCAACUGGACAAGGGCUUCCGAUACUGGUGGUCUCGAGGGAGGUAGGGGUCGAGGGAACUAAUGGUGGAGCGGUGAAAUGCGUAGAUAUCAUUAGGAACGCCGGUGGCGAAAGCGCUCGACUGGACCUCUUCUGACGCUGAGGCGCGAAAGCCAGGGGAGCAAACGGGAUUAGAUACCCCGGUAGUCC